UUCAGCGUGAGGGUUUUUUGAAAAAAGAGCGGCUAGCACUUCGCUGUGCGGAGACACGGAACAGUCGGUCUGAUAUUCAUGAAUUUUGUAAUCGUGUCAGUGUUCGUCGAGGCCUGGUUUGGCGUCUUGUACUUGAAACACCUGAGGAGCUAUAAUGGCGUCUGGAGCUAGCAGCUGAUCGAUUAUGGACAACAAGGCCUCCUUUACCUACGAAUAGGCUGUUGUGAUGACAAGUAGGCCGCUGGAGGGCCAAGUUUGAAAUCGCUGCGUUGGUUAUUCGAGCAGCACACAAGGAGUGACCCGACCGUGACCUCUCAGCGGCGGUUUGUUUGGUUGUUUGGCGUCCCUGAAACACCUGAGGAGCUAUAAUGGCGUCUGGAGCUAGCAGCUGAUCGAUUAUGGACAACAAGGCCUCCUUUACCUACGAAUAGGCUGCUGUGAUGGCAAGUAGGCCGCGGGAGCGCCAUGUUGGAAAUCGCUGCGAUGGUUAUUUGAGCAGCACACAAGGAGAGACCCGACCAUGGAUGUACUACAAUCAAGCUGAGGAUUCCCUUCAAUCAAGUUGAGGAUCGCUUCCAUCAAGUUGAGGAAUCGCUACAAGGUGCCUGGAGGACACUGCCCAACCAAUCAACGGUUGGUUAAGUCAAAGAACUGUUCCAAUGGCGGCUCCAGAAGACGUCUCAGGGUAGGAGCUGUUGCGGGUUUUGCUGUGCCAUGUUGCUGAUGCUAUUGUUUGUUGACUGCCAACAAACAAUAGCAUCAGCAGAGAGUCAAUGAGCUGAGUAGGAUUCUGCUGUUUUAAAUCCUUCUGUCUUUGGGUUUUAGUGUUUGAAUCAGUUGCUGUGGUCUUGUGACCUGUGGCAAAUACAUUUUAGAGGCUGUAGGAAGGGAUUCAGCUUAGGCUUUGUAAAUAUCACUAUGAUCAACCUUGAUAACAUACCUUCUUAUUAGUACUAAAAUAGUGUGGCUAUGUUCACAGUAGUAUAGCUGCAUUAGGAUGAUUAUUAUGAGUUUAUGGUAUUAAAAGCGAGUACAACGAAUGGGUCGCUCUAUUCCAUGCACGAUGUUCCACUCAUGAAAACACGGUUGGGUAUGUGAAAUGUAGAACUUCUGAUCUCUGUAACAAAAGGUGGUGUGUUCGGUGUUUGUUUUCACAUACAGUUCGGUAAGGUUUGUGUGAAAACGGACCCGACGACGGGUAAAGGUGUAAAAACUAAUGCAGUGACUACAAAAACCCCAGCGACUGAUGGAGAAAAGUCCUCAAGUGACCCACCCACUACCCGACUGCUCCCGAUGGAAAAGGCCUUCAUUGCCCCCACCGCUGACGGAUGACCUCAGUGACCCUGCCAUCGGGUUCAGCAGUUUUCCUCAAAAAAUGUUGCAGAUUUUGCCCUUCAUCGCCAGACAGAAGAAAUAGCCGAACUUGAAACACUUAUCAAAACAUCAGUUUAUCUUUUUCCUUUUCUUUCUACCAAAAACUGGAUCAUUCUUCAAUCUGUCGGUCGUGUCAGAUGGCUGCUGGUGCUGAGCCCGGUUCUGGUUCUGUUGAAGAUUUCUUCCUGGUAGAGUGGAGUUCUGCUGCACUGCCGCUACAUGCAUGCUCUGUAUUGGGGACUGCUGCAACGUCAACGACUCAACACAAGCGAUUUGCUGUCGCCCCCUGCUGAUCAUGGAGAGUGAACGCUGUUAGUAACGACUCCGUACAAUUUGCUGGGUUUAGUUUGGUACAAACUUUUUAAACUACUUUAAUAAUCAGCUGAUCUUAUGGAAUACACGUGAUUUAACUAAAAUUACUUCAAGGUGCAUUGAGAUGACAUUUGUUGUGAAUUGGCAAUAUAUAAAAUUGAACUAUAAAACUAAAAAAUUAGUCCCUACAAUAAACA